UAACAUUUGUCAAAUUGUCACCAUGGCGGCUGCGCUGCUGUCAAAUAGGAGAUUCGAUAAAAUAAUUCGAAAUCACGCCAAAUUUACAAAAUCGUAUUCAAGUAACAAAUCUGUAAUAUUAAAUAAGCCCCAAUUGAACAUAAUAUGCAAACAAUGCGCGGCGGCGAGUUACUUCCGGUUAUAUACAACGCAGGCUCCAAGCAAUGCUGGGGCUUCAGAUCCGGCGAAAAAUGUAUUGGCAGCAGUGUUGGCAAACAAACCAAAGACAGGAAAAAUACCAGUUGGAAUCCAAAAAAGAGACUGUUUUCACCCAGGUGCCUCUGUUUUGUCUCGUGAAGAUAUAAAUUUGGGUGAUGCGAAGCCAGUGACGGGGACGGAUAUGGUACGGGGGAUGCUGGAGUAUGUGUGGCCCAAGGACAAUGAAAUGAUCCGCAACAGAGUGAUGCUGUCUCUCUCGCUGCUGUUCGGUGCCAAAGUGAUGAACGUGACGGUGCCGUUCCUGUUCAAGUACGCGGUGGAUGAGGUGAACCAGGCGGCCACCACGCCCGCAGGCGACGCGCUGUUGGGCAUGGCUACUGUACCACAGGCGCUAGGGACUACAGCGUUCAGCUUGUUGUUGGGAUACGGUAUAGCUCGCGCCACAGCGGCCGGCUUCAACGAGCUUCGGAACGCAGUGUUCGCGAAGGUGGCGCAGCACUCCAUCAGGAGGCUCGCCUGCAACGUCUUCACACAUCUGCACAACCUAGACCUCAGCUUCCACCUGGGACGGCAGACCGGAGCGCUGUCUAAGACCAUAGACCGUGGCUCCCGCGCCAUCAACUUCGUGUUGUCCGCCAUGGUGUUCAACAUAGUGCCCACUAUAUUCGAACUGACGCUGGUCUCCAGCAUACUGGGGCUGAAAGGAGGCUUCGCUUUUGCGGGGCUGGCGUUCAGUUGCGUGGGAGUGUACGCGGCGUUCACUCUCGCCAUCACGCAGUGGCGCACCAAGUUCCGCGUCUAUAUGAACAAGGCGGAGAACGAGGCCGGCAACAAGGCCAUCGACUCGCUCAUCAACUACGAGACUGUUAAGUACUUCAACAACGAGAAGUACGAGCUAGAGAAGUACGACGUGAGCCUCAAGAAGUACGAGGACGCGUCGCUGAAGACCGCGUCGAGUCUCGCCGUGUUGAACUUCGGACAACACGCCAUCUUCAGCGGCGGCCUCAGUCUCAUCAUGAUCAUGGCUGCCAACGAGAUCGCUAAAGGCAACAUGACGGUGGGCGACCUGGUGAUGGUGAACGGUCUGCUGUUCCAGCUGUCGAUCCCGCUGGGGUUCCUGGGCUCGGUGUACCGCGAGGUCCGGCAGGCGCUCAUCGACAUGCAGACCAUGUUCACGCUCAUGACCGUGCAGUCUAGGAUUAAGGUAACUACCGACCUGGUGAUGGUGAACGGUCUGCUGUUCCAGCUGUCGAUCCCGCUGGGGUUCCUGGGCUCGGUGUACCGCGAGGUCCGGCAGGCGCUCAUCGACAUGCAGACCAUGUUCACGCUCAUGACCGUGCAGUCUAGGAUUAAGGUAACUACCGACCUGGUGAUGGUGAACGGUCUGCUGUUCCAGCUGUCGAUCCCGCUGGGGUUCCUGGGCUCGGUGUACCGCGAGGUCCGGCAGGCGCUCAUCGACAUGCAGACCAUGUUCACGCUCAUGACCGUGCAGUCUAGGAUUAAGGAGAUAGACAAAGCCCCACCGCUAAUAGUUGACGCGAAGACAGCCACAAUUGACUUCAAAGACGUCAGCUUUAAAUACGUUAACGGGAAGCCGAUAUUCAACAAUUUGACGUUCUCGAUACCGGCGGGAAAGAAGAUUGGUAUCGUAGGCGGUUCUGGUUCGGGUAAAUCGACGAUGGUGCGGUUGCUGUUCAGAUUUUUCGAGCCGCAGUCUGGCACCAUCACGAUCGCGGGACAGAAUAUCAGAGAUCUGGACCUCGCCAGCUUGAGGAGAGCCAUAGCUGUUGUACCACAGGACUGCGUGCUGUUCCACGACACGAUCUUCCACAACCUGCACUACGGCGACCUCGCCAAGCCCGAGGAGGAGGUGUACCGCGCCAGCCGCAUGGCCGAGCUGCACGACUCCGUACAGACGUGGCCCAAGGGUUACCAGACGCAAGUGGGUGAGCGUGGGCUGAAAUUGUCCGGUGGUGAGAAGCAACGCGUGGCCAUCGCGCGAGCCAUCCUCAAGGACUCGCCCAUCAUCGUGUUCGACGAGGCCACGUCCAGCCUCGACAGCCUCACUGAACAUGCGAUCCUGCAGGCGCUGAAGGCGGCGACGGUGGGCCGCACGUCGAUCUGCAUCGCGCACCGCCUGUCCACGGUGGCCGACGCCGACGAGAUCCUCGUGCUGGAGCGCGGCAACGUCUCCGAACGCGGCACCCACCACCAGCUCAUCGCCAACCCGCACUCCUUGUACUCCAGGCUGUGGGACAAGCAGAACCGGGACGCGGGACUUGUUAAGUAGAUCCUUGUGGACAAAUGUAAAGGGUAGAUGAGCAAGAACGGUUUCAUUACAGCCAAUGAUUUUCGGUUUGUGCACUUGCGUCAUUGUAAUUCUAAAGGUGAGAUAUAUCGAUAUGUCAUAUAGUAUAUCACAUGAAAAUGUGUUCCAUACACACAUACAUUCUUGACGUGUCAAGUGAGAGUUGACAUAAUUAAUCCAGCCAUGAAACUUUUAAUAUCGUGUAUAUUGAUAAUCAGUAGCAAUGUACAAUAAGACCUUGCUCUUUUAUCCUAGAACGCAAGUUCUCCGCCACAUUAGACUACAUCGUACCUAAUUGUUAAGCCUCCACAUUGAUUAUCUCGGAAGAAAAAACGCAUGUAUUUUAACUGAGGUAGAAUUCAGUUUGUAUUGAAACGCGUUGUAUAUAAUAACAAUGUUAUGUUAAAUCAUAAAUAACAGACAAGUAGCCUAGUUGAGAGUGGAACGGACUGCCGAAACGAAUGUCUGCAGGUUCAAAACCCAAUACACACUGAUCUGACUUUUCGUAGUUAACGUGUUGUUGAUGUGAACUUUUAACUUUGAAGAAAACAUCGUGAAAGUUAGGAGAGGUAACAUACCUGAGAAUUUUCGAUAAGAAUUUAAAGGAUAAAUGAAUUUUGCCCGCACUAGGUCAGCGUGAUGGACUAAAGCUUAAACUCUCCCAGUAAUAUAAUAGGCCCGCACCCAGCGAUAGGCAGUAUAUUAUAAUGUAUGCAGGUACAGCUGCCGUGCUGGUCUCAGUUUCGAUUUGCGGGUCAAGUCGAUAUUGAGGGUGGUCUCCACAGUGUCCGCUCUCACUCUUUCCCUCAUUCCAUGGGAGUUAAUAUAGUUGUCGGAAUUUGGGUAUGUUACAUUGAGCUCGCAAUAAAACGGGAAAAACAGUGCGAUAUCAUGUACAGUCCCCGCGCAAGCUUCGAGGAAUCUCUAGGCAUAUGUGAUGACAUAGCGCAGGCAUAGUCGAUAUUACGUUAUCGAUGUACGAUCAAGCGAUGACAUUGUGAAACAAAAUUUAUUACAUCGAUAACGUAAUAUGAAAUAUCGUCAAAAUCUCUACGUAAUAAUAAUUACUGGUGAUUACCUUCAGACCAGAGAAACAUUAAUAAAUAACAAUAGUUAUAAACAUGUACCUCAUUAUAACAGUAUUAAUAAUACUAGAUAUGCGCGUGCGUCGAUAAGUAGGAAUCGAUUGCGCGACCUCUAAACUGUACCGCGUAAACCAGGAUUCGAGGUUUAAACAUAGAUUACGUUAGCAAUGUAUAUCUUUAACGUAUUUUAUUACUUAUCUUUAUCUUUGUUAAGAUUGCUUAAUUGUCUGCGGGCAUGACUAUAACUUUAUUAAAGUAAAUAAUUGUCCAGUCUGAAGUUAGUCACUUUACAAAUGUCACAUUUAGCUCUAGAAAAAAUGUGUACAGUCGCAAACAUCUACGAUUAUCAACUAACUGCGGAUGGCAUUAAACGAUCUCAAUCGCUUUUUUCGAUCUAUCGCCAAAAUAUUUAUAAAUGACUGUUGUUAUUAUAAUAUAAAUAACAACAAUAAUUUAUAAAUAUUUCCUAUAUAAAUAAAUGACGUUUAUAAAUGACUUAUUUUGAUUGGUUAAUUCUCGGGAUCGGAUCGAAGAUUUACAUUCGGACUGUUUACUGUCACAUUGUAAUGCAUGUUCGAUUCUCAGGUCUGGCUACUGUUUGGGAAUAUUUAGAUUUGAAGGAACAUUUGAAUAAUGCUUGAUGUAUCGAUAAUCUCUCAUAUCAGGUUGUGGAUGCAAGGCUGCAAGACCGUCGGUGCUUAGGUUUGUCUUUGCCUAACCUACGCAAUAACGUCGUGAGCUUAUGUACGUAGUAGUAAGACAAGUGUGGAGGCGAUUAGAAUAAUUAUGUAUGUAUAUACAUUGUACAGGUUACUUGUUGAAUAAGUAUAUUAUUUUGUUGC
rnacentral:misc_RNA from 1 species